rnacentral:rRNA from 1 species
UACGAAGGGGGGCUAGCGUUGCUCGGAAUUACUGGGCGUAAAGCGCACGUAGGCGGAUUGUUAAGUCGGGGGUGAAAUCCUGGAGCUCAACUCCAGAACUGCCUUCGAAACUGGCGAUCUUGAGUCCGGGAGAGGUGAGUGGAACUGCGAGUGUAGAGGUGAAAUUCGUAGAUAUUCGCAAGAACACCAGUGGCGAAGGCGGCUCACUGGCCCGGUACUGACGCUGAGGUGCGAAAGCGUGGGGAGCAAACAGG